AGUUUAAUUUCGAAUAUUGCAAAAGUUACUUUUAUUUACGAAAUUGCCACAAGGGCAAACUUGUAAUUUUGCCUAGACUAAUAAAUAUCCUAAGUCUUCUUCCCCACUUCAUUUCCAGCAAAUUUCUUUUACCUCCAUUGUUGAAUGCUCUCAACUCACCAUUUACCCUUAGCUAUAUUAUUCAUUUGUUAUUUCUCAAUAAUUCCUUAACGAAAAACGUUGGAAAUCACCCGCUAAUUACUAAUCUACAAUUGCAUGUAGGAUCAAGAUUCGACAAGUUGUCGAGCUAUCGAGUCGGAGGACCAAGGGAAUUAACGGAGUUGUUUAAAGGAGCAUUGACGGAGUAAUACCGUAGUUAAACGGUUUCUGAAAGCUGGUCCGAUUUUGAUGAAGGCUUCCGAACGUUUAUUUCUCGGAAGUCUACUUUGAUAAAAGACUGUAAAGAAGGUUUUAAGUUCUAGUUGUCCGCAGUAGACUAGUAUAGUCUUAUUGUAUUUAAAUGUUUUAAAGCACAUUUAAAACUUUGAUGUUUUAUCUCAUCAGUUAUUUAAUAAAUGUGUCAUACGUCUCUUUUAAAAGCGAAAAA